CCGCCCCCGGGGCUGCCCCGGCCACGGCCCCAGCCCAGCUGGGAGGGGGAGCAGGAUGAAGGGGAUCUGGGCAGAAGAGAAGGCAGGAAAAAGAGUGACCUGUCCCUGGUCACUGUCCUGGAGAGUGUACUUUUGAAAAAGAUGAGUGUGUGUUUACCCAGAAGAGGAGAGGACCCAGGGAUGGAGGGGUCCAACUCCCACUUCUUACACCAGACCCAAAGGAGACGACACUGCUGGGGUAGGGCUCCCGUGAGUACAGAGGCAUCCAGCAUGGGCUGUGGACAGAGAGCACCCCUUGUUUCAAGGUCACCAAGAGGAACCUCUGG